rnacentral:rRNA from 1 species
AUCACUCGGCUCGUGGAUCGUUGAAGACGCAGCUGAAAUGCGCGUCAGAAUGUGAACUGCAGGACACAUGAAACACCGAUAAGUUGAACGCAUAUGGCGCAUCGGACGUUUCAACCCGACCGAUGCACACAUCCUUGAGUGCCUAC